rnacentral:rRNA from 1 species
GACGAACGCUGGCGGCGUGCUUAACACAUGCAAGUCGAACGGAAAGGCCCUGCUUUUGUGGGGUUCUCGAUUGGCGAACGGGUGAGUAUCACGUGAGUAACCUGCCCUUAACUUUGUGAUAAAUUCACGAAACUGGGGCUAAUACCGGAUAGGAUCUCCUGCUGCAUGGUGGGGGUUGGAAAGUUUCGGCGGUUGGGGAUGGACUCGCGGGUUAUCAGCUUGUUUGUGAGGUAGUUGCUUUCCAAGGCUUUUACGGGUAGCCGGCCUGAGAGGGUUAACGGCCACAUUGGGACUGAGAUACGGAGCAGACUGCUACGGGAGGCAGCAGUGGGGAAUAUUGCACAAUGGGCGGAAGCCUGAUGCAGCAACGCCGCGUGCGGAAUGACGGCCUUCGGGUUGUAAACCGAUUUCGACGGUGACGAAGAGUGAGUGACGGUAAUGGAUCAAGAAGCCACGGCUAACUACGUG